GGAGAGGUAACUCUCACAAACCUUGUGUCUCUGACAAGCUUUUCUAUUUCCGUGGUGGAAGAUCACAUUUUUCUGUUCUCUGCUCAUUAUGUAACAAAGAAUCCGAUCUCUAGGACUUGGUAAACUGCAGACAAAGAAACGCCAUGAAAUAUCACUUCAUGCAGCACAGGCUACAUCGGGUGUCUUUAAGGAGUAAUAUGACAGAGACAAGAGCGGAAAUCUCAACUCCCUGGAACUGAGAGGUGCCCUCCACAGUGUUGGUAAGAGCUUGUUGUUUCCAUAAGUUAAAUUUGUUUACAAUUAAAUGUUCAUAAUCAUUAAACACACACGCACUUAAUGCUUUUGAUUGGUUUCUUUUUUAUCUCCUGUAUUAAAAUAAGAAUCUUUGUGGCAUUUUAAUCAGGAUUCAUCUUAUUAUUUUCCAUUACAGUCCCAUAUAAACACAAUAAUGUUUAUUUUGUUAUAUAUUCAUAUUAUAAACAUUUACAGGCUUCCGUCUGAACAACAAGACGUUACGAUGCGCAUAGGGAAUUCGGAGCUGUCAGAAUUUCCUCCAAUAACUUGUGAUUACGAUUUAUCUGGCGAUAUUUCAUCAGCUGUUAGCAUCCACUCGCGAUCGGUUUCAGCUUCGCAAUACCUAGAUCAGGAUCAAAACGAAACAGAUGUAAUGGAAUGGAAUUCGAUCUUUUCUUGAUUAUUUAGAUCAGGAAGAUCAAAGUGAAACAGACAGCGACACUGAAUUAUUACAGAAUACCAAGCGCAUAUCAGAAAACGAUUUGUAUCAGGAUUUAGCACUGGGCAAGCCAAUGUAACAUUACACUUAGUGCUUUGUCUCGUUUACUGAGUAUUCUACGUAAUUACCAUCCAUCUCUCCCCAAGCAUCCCAGAACACUGUUGAAAACCCCCCAAAAGUUAAACAUUAGAUCUGUAGAAAAUAGUUCUCGAUAUUAUUUUCACUUUGGACUUAAAGAAUCUCUGUCUAAAUCUAGUCUGGUUGGAUUAUUAUAAAAGUACGUUCUUAAGAAAGAUUAAAGUAAGACUGUUCCACUUAACACAUUUUGAUCUGUCAUUAUCAAUUUGAAUUGUUCUUCUAUCUUGUCCAGUUACUUUUUAAUAAUUUCUUGAAAAGGGGGUAAAUUCAUGGGUACAGGGCCGGGCCUUUAGGAGGGAAAGAAAUGUACUGGGCUGUGCUGUGUUUAACACCUGCAUUUGAACUAUCAGUGCAAAUAUAUAUGCUGUACACAUACAUAUUUUAUUUAUGCUUGCUUUACACAUUUAACAGUGAUGUUUACAAAGAGAUAGGCUUUGCAUAUUUAGGAUAAAAUGUCUACAAACUGCAUGUUGUUUCAGCAGAUGGCCUUAAGCUUAUUCCAUGUUGAGUUUUUGGAAGAAGCAGAAUGCUUAAAGGGGCCAGUAGCUGUAAUUCCAGACAGUUGGCUGCUAGCAUUUUUAAAGAUUCCAGUGGUCGCAGGAUGUGCAACUGGCCACCAAAAUCUGCAAGCUUCAUUAUUAAACAUCAGAUUCCUCAUGGCCCAUGCAUCCAGUUCGCCUGCACAAGUCAUUAAGACAAAGGAAGGAGAUAAAAAGAUGAUAUCUGGACUGUUGGAACACUGUAACAGGUAACUGCCAAGCAGCUAGCCAAAUCUGCGAGACACUGAAAGAAAUGUCGGAGGUGGAGAAUGAUGACACAAAUACUCCCAAUCAAACAAAAAGGCCACGAAUAACUCCAAUUAGAUUUUGGGAUGCACGGCUAACAGACAGCGAAGGAGAGAAGAAUUCCGAGGAAUCACUAUGUGAUGACCAUUCAAUGCAGCAGUGUCCACCACUCUCUGCCAUACUGUCUGCCGCCAGUAGUUGUCAGCCCUAGGGUGUCCCCAAGUAGCAGCUAUCGACAAAGUACUAUUUCACCUUUGCCUUCACAUCUCCAACACUCAUUCUCAGGUUUUCAUCCUGCCAGCAUAGGGACCCACAACCCCUUGGAAGCUCAACUGGAGAAACUUGGGACAGCAGCAACUGUCUCUUCUGGAAGAGAUGAGAGAUGAUAUAAAAGAUGUGAAAAGGAGGCUUCAAGAAUGGAGAAACAACACCAGGAAAAGGAGGUGACAGGAGGAAAACUGCCAGAGGGGUUCCAUUUUCUCUUACAAUCUUCAGAGGAUGUUGACCGUCUGGAGUGGGAUUGGAAGACUGACCCAGGAAAACGGACACACUCGGAAUGCCAUUUGACGAUGGGUGGAAUAUUCACUUUAAAGCACUUGGUGAGGAGCAUACUAUCUGUGCUAUUGUCAACUGACUCAGCCCGGUGUUACAACUUCAAUGGUCUGAAAGAGAAGAAGGGACUCAAGAACCACUCCUUUAUUUUACAAACAGUUCAGGGUAAGGAUUUAAAUAUUUGACUGUGUUUUCAUGAGAUUACAAAAAACAUUACAGGGAGACAACUCUAGCCUGGCGAACUUUUCCUACCUCAUUUCAUUGUGAUCCAAUUACAUUGGAAAAUUAAAAAUAUGGACAUGUGUUUAUGCAGUGUCUAGUCCUUUAAUCAGCUGGUUAACACUGUGUAGAAAGGAAUGAACACAACAAUUGAUAGACAU
rnacentral:lncRNA from 1 species